rnacentral:tRNA from 1 species
GCGAGAGUGGUGGAACGGUAGACACGCUAGAUUUAGGAUCUAGUGCCUUUGGGCGUGCGGGUUCAAGUCCCGCCUCUCGCA